rnacentral:rRNA from 1 species
AGAGUUUGAUCCUGGCUCAGGAUGAACUCUUGCGGCGUGCCUAAUACAUGCAAGUCGAACGAAGAAGCAUGCUUGCUUGCUUCUUAGUGGCGAACGGGUGAGUAAUACAUAAAUAAUCUACCAUAAUGACUGGGAUAACCAAUGGAAACGCUGGCUAAUACCGGAUAGGAAAAACGAGGGCAUCUUUGUUUUAUUAAAGUAGGGCUACUACACAAUAUGAUGAGUUUAUGGCACAUUAGCUAGUUGGUGAGGUAACGGCUCACCAAGGCGAUGAUGCGUAGCCGACCUGAGAGGGUGACCGGCCACACUGGGACUGAGACACGGCCCAGACUCCUACGGGAGGCAGCAGUAGGGAAUUUUCGGCAAUGGGCGCAAGCCUGACCGGGCAACGCCGCGUGAGUGAAGAAGGCCUUCGGGUUGUAAAGCUCUGUUGUAAGGGAAGAACACUUUUUAGAGGAAAUGCUAGAGAGCUGACGGUACCUUACCAGAAGGCCACGGCUAACUACGUGCCAGCAGCCGCGGUAAUACGUAGGUGGCGAGCGUUAUCCGGAAUUAUUGGGCGUAAAGGGUGCGUAGGCGGUUUAUUAAGUCUGUGGUGAAAGUGCGGGGCUCAACCCCGUAUGGCCACAGAAACUGACAGACUAGAGUACAGGAGAGGGCAGUGGAAUUCCAUGUGUAGCGGUAAAAUGCGUAGAUAUAUGGAGGAACACCGGUGGCGAAGGCGGCUGCCUGGCCUGUAACUGACGCUGAGGCACGAAAGCGUGGGGAGCAAAUAGGAUUAGAUACCCUAGUAGUCCACG